UUCCCCCAAAACAAAUCCCUAAUUUCCUAAACUUCCUUUUCCCCCAAGAACACAAAUCGCGGAUAGUCUUCAAGAUCAAGCCUAGUUCAAACAUCAUCAAGAAUCUUCUUAACAUUCAUUAGUCUUGUUCGUAAACGAGAUGCUCUAGCUGAUACACUCUCCUCUUCUAACUUCAGCCCUAAUAUCUCCGAAAUUUCACCUUGUAUCUUUCUUAUAUCCAGUUGCUGACCAACAACACCUAGUAAAAGCGUUGGACCACACAAACUUAAAUAACAAUUACCCUCAUUUAGCAGCUGCAGUACAACUUUUGAUGUCUUCUUAGCUCUCUUGCUCAACAUAUACCGCGAUUUUGGAUUGAUACAACGUCCAUUUAGACAACGAAUUUCAAUGUUGUGAACAUCAGACACAACAGUUUGAAUGUCUGGCUUCAUUUUGUUGACAUGUAUUAGCCAUGAAUCGACAUCAGGAGCGAUCUCUUAAAAAACAAAUAUCCGAAUUGACGGAUGAUUGGCUGGAUCAAGAAUUGUGCAACUCCACCAACAAUAGCAGAACCAAAUUCUGUAGCCAUGUCAACUGAUUUUACAGGACAAAAACAGAAUACAAACAGAGAAAAAUUGUAGUACUAUGUUUGUUGAAUAUUGAACUUCCAUUCACAUUUGGUUCUUUCUCCAUUGCGAUUUGUUGAACUUCUAUCCGCGAUUUGUGUUCUUGGGG